rnacentral:rRNA from 1 species
AUUGAACGCUGGCGGCAUGCUUUACACAUGCAAGUCGAACGGCAGCGCGGGCUUCGGCCUGGCGGCGAGUGGCGAACGGGUGAGUAAUGCAUCGGAACGUGCCCAGUAGUGGGGGAUAGCCCGGCGAAAGCCGGAUUAAUACCGCAUACGACCUGAGGGUGAAAGCGGGGGACCGAAAGGCCUCGCGCUAUUGGAGCGGCCGAUGUCGGAUUAGCUAGUUGGUGGGGUAAAGGCUUACCAAGGCGACGAUCCGUAGCUGGUCUGAGGGGACGACCAGCCACAGUGGGGGUGAGACCCGACCCAGGCCCCGACGGGAGGCAGCGGUGGGGAAGUUUGGAAAAUGGGGGCAACCUUGACCCAGCCAUGCCGGGUGGAGGAAGAAGGCCUUCGGGUGGUAAACCGCUUUUUGUGGGGAAAAAAUCUUUCGGGCGAAAACCCGGGGGGGAGGAGGGUACGGGAAGAAAAGACACGGGCAAACACCUU